rnacentral:tRNA from 1 species
AUUAGCUCAGUUGGUAGAGCACCUGACUUUUAAUCAGGGUGUCGCUGGUUCGAGUCCAGCAUG